AGUGAACGCUGGCGGCAGGCUUAACACAUGCAAGUCGAACGGCAGCACAGUAAGAGCUUGCUCUUACGGGUGGCGAGUGGCGGACGGGUGAGGAAUAUAUCGGAAUCUACUUUUUCGUGGGGGUUAACGUAGGGAAACUUACGCUAAUACCGCAUAUGACCUACGGGUGAAAGCAGGGGAUCUUCGGACCUUGCGCGAUUGAAUGAGCCGAUGUCGGAUUGGCUAGUUGGGGGGGUAAAGGCCCACCAAGGCGAGGAUUCGUAGCUGGUCUGAGAGGAUGGUCGGCCGCCCUGGAACGUGAACGACGUCCCGGCGCCUAAGGGACGGCACAGAGGGGUAAGGUAGGCAGUGGGGGGGAGCCUUGUCCAAGCAAACCAAGUGGGUUGAAGGAGCCCUGCGGUUGGGAAGCCCUUUUGUUGGGAAAGAAAAGCAGCAGGUUAAUACCCCGCUGUUCUGACGGUACCCAAAGAAUAAGCACCGGCUAACUACGUG
rnacentral:rRNA from 1 species